GGAAUCUUCCACAAUGGGCGCAAGCCUGAUGGAGCAACACCGCGUGAGUGAAGAAGGGUUUCGGCUCGUAAAGCUCUGUUGUUAAAGAAGAACACGUAUGAGAGUAACUGUUCAUACGUUGACGGUAUUUAACCAGAAAGUCACGGCUAACUACGUGCCAGCAG
rnacentral:rRNA from 1 species